rnacentral:lncRNA from 1 species
UUGUUCUAACGCCAAAGUUCUUAGUUAAAAAGUCCCUGUUUUAUUUUUUUUAUUAUAUGUUAGGAUCUGUCGAAUGAGAUGAUCAUUAUAUCUGUGAUGUGCUGAUGAAUGGGGAUUAGCUGGGUUGGAUGUUUUAUAGUACUUCAAUCAAACUUUGCUUGUAUUGGACUUAUCAAAUAAUUUAUCAUUCCCUAUUAUUGAUAUGGUUACUCGAUUUCUUGCAUUACAUGCAUUUUCUUCCCAUGAAUUUUUUUGUUCUC